GGACGGCCGGACCGUGCCGUACCUCUACGGGCACGGGACGGGACGGGACCAGUGGGAUAUUGUACGAGUAGGAGCGGGACAGUUCGCUUCGUUGACUAUUCAUAAUAAAAAUAACGCCUUAUAAAUAUUAAUGAAAAUAAUUUUACAAUACAUUCGAAACGAAAUGAGAAGUGUUAAAUUUGACGUUGUCAUCUAUUUGCAUGCAAUAUGUUCCAAAACAUAUCGUUUUCAAUUAAAGUUUUUUUUUUAAAGUGAAAUGAUCGAAAACGGUUUAAGUUAAGCCUGAUGAUGUUAUUCUGCUAUUUCAAGUUUCCCAUGUUCGUAUAUUAACGGGAAUUAAAUAAUGUUAUUGUAAUUUUUUCAUAUCGGAGUUUUAUAAGUUAUGUUUUGCGAUUUCUCCAAGUAGCAGGUAGGUAACAUAGAAUAAUUACGAAUAUUUAAUAUUUUGCGGAAGUAUCACCAGUAUUCGGAAAUGACAAAAACUGUGAGAAAACAAAAGGUCACGACCCGGUACAAGGUCAAGACAUCAGAAAUCUAGAUAGAGCCGACGUGUCCCAAACCGUGGGAACAGCAGACAAUGGCUUUUGUAACACAAUCCAUAAAUUUUCUUACAUAAUUGUGGCAAUUAAAAGUUUUACGUUACAUCGGCGGAUCCAACUGUACAUGAUCUCGUAGUAACACGCGUGGAUUAAUCCUGACAUAUUUUAGAAGCAAUCCUAAGGCCCGGAUACAAAAUGGUUUGGAAUAAUGCUCUUGACCUCUGGUCCCGUUGCGUCCGGUUCCUAUAGUGGCCAAUAGGUCACAAGAGCUAUUAACCCACACCUGCCUGAAUUUUUGGUAUCGUUGCAUGUGAUCAGAUGGAUCGGGAAGCAUUACUUUCUCUCGAUUAAAAAGACACAGUAUCCAAAGACUGGUAGAAAGAUUUACUGACAGAAACUGAGAGCUAGUUAAUGGAGUGGCCUCAUCAUAUAUUAAGAAGAUUUACACCUGACAUCCAAACAGCAGAUUAGAUUAUUCUUCUAUAAAGAACAGAUUGCCAAUUAGCAGACUGGAAAUAAAAAUUGUAUUGAUAUUAUUAUUUUUUAAAUUUAUGCGAGCUACAGUUCGCAGUGCAAGAUGAGUCGCUGAGACGUAAAGCGCCAUACGCCUGAAGAACUUCCAGAUGAAAUAAAAAAAAAUUGUCAGAAACGAAAAAUAAAUAUUCUUUAUUUCCACUUGUAAGUUACAUAUAAAAUAAUGUAUUUAUAAAUGUUGUGAGCAAGGGUGGAUUUAUCUCUGACAGAGAUCUCUUCCAGGCAACCCAGUACAGUAAGAAAGCAUUUCGUCAGCGGGCAGCUGAAGUGCUACAACUAUUAAUACAUAAACAAUACACCAUUAUCCGUCCACUGCUGGACAUAGGCCUUCCCUAUAGACUGCCAUAAGGAACGGUAAGAAGCCACCUGCAUGCAUAAGGUGUUCAUUAUGCAUUGAAUAAUAAUCUAAACUUUAUUUGUUUACUAAUUUUCUUUGAAAUUCAUUUAGCCAUUAAAGUGCAA